ensembl:lncRNA TMEM198B transmembrane protein 198B (pseudogene)
GCCCUGUCCCCUUUCUCCACCCUGCAAGCUAGUUGCAUUUAGCUCACAGAGCCUGGGCUGCGACUUGAAAGAGUUUAGGCAGCAACAGAGUGACCCUGGGGGUGCUCUUGACCGACAGCCGCACCCCCGGCGUCUAGGACCUCCGAGCAGGGAUGCAUCUGGAGGUCUAGGGAAGCACUUCCACCCCCUCCUCUCCUCAAUCCUGGCAGGAUGGCUACUGCUGCUUCAAGACAGUGACGUUUCUCUCCGGUCAGCUGUCAGGAGCGCUGGUGAGCUUCCUACUGUGCCACAAGGUGCGGGUGCUGGAGACACAGCUGAGCCUGGAAAUGAGAGUGGGCAUCGCCGUGGUCAUCAUGACUCCUCUGCGGCGUGGUCACCAUGUUGGUUCACUGUGUUGGGCUCUUAUUGACGGGUCUCCUGCUAGGCCUGACCUUGGGUGCCGGAGCCCUGCUGGCUUCUGAGCCUAUCUACCAACCACCUUCAGCCUGGGUGCCAGCUGGGGGGCUGGUGGGGCUGGCGCUGCUGGGAGCCCUGCUCACACUUCGGUGGCCACGUCCAUUCACAGUUCUGGGCACAACCCUGCUGGGUUCUGCAGUGCUUGUGGCCUGUGUUGACUACUUCCUGGAGGGGCUGGCACUGGGGAGUUGGCUGGGCCAACGCCUGCAGACACUUCCAGCCUUGCCUUCUCUCUGCUGAUAUAGCUGGGUCUUACUGGGGAUCUGGCCAGCCUUGGGGGCCCUUGGAGCCCUGGCCCAGUGGAAGCUCGUGCCUGAGGAACAUGGAGGCCACGCUAAUGGGUCUGUUCCUGGUUUCCCAGAUGCAUAAAGGAAGACAUAUCCCUCCCCUGGGCAGCAAGGCUACAAUGGGAGGGAGGGAGAACAUGGGAGCAUGUGAAUAAAAUGGCAUUAAAUACUGAACCAGGGA